rnacentral:lncRNA from 1 species
CAGAAAUGAGGAACAUUUAGCAAACAUUGAUUAGGAAAAUGCUUAAACUGAUAAUUAGAUUUAAUGAUACACAUACGAAAUGAGAGGGGAUACAACAAAAAUUUGAAUGUCUCAAAAAAGAAACGCCCUUAAUAAUAAAGAAUUUUACUCAAAGGAGCAAUCUAAAGAGAAUUAGCUAUAUACAUAGUCCACUUAUUCAAGGCAUAGCGAUGAAUUUUAUCUCUAUAGUGAUGCAACACCAACGGGACAGUUAAUUGCAAAAUUAGAAUAGAUCUAUGGGGAGGGGAAAUUAGAGAGAAGAAGGGAAGAAAGAAACAGGAAGAGAGAAAAAUGCUGUAAGCCACAAAAUAAUAUUCAUUCAUCAUCAACUGAAAAUUAUAAUGUAAAAUAGGUUUAAAUAGUUAAGCAAUCCUAACGAGCUUGGACCCGAGCCCAUACAAGUCCAAAUCUUAAAUAAUAGUUCAAAAGAUAAAUAAAGUAUAAACGAAGUUUAAAUAAAAUAAGUCACGUCCGAUGUCCUCAUCAACUCUCUUGGGGUGGGAGAAAACUCGACCCUGUCGAGUGAAUAUCUCACUCUAGGCUGUCAUCAAUCUCCCAACCAUAAGCUGAGUGGUUGGGCAAGUUUCUUCCGACGUCUGUAAAAAUAUGUCAAUGAAGGUCUGAACUUGGUGUCCUCACCAACUCCCCUUGGGUGAACGGGAGGCGAUCUAGGCCAAGGAUGAUCCUGUUGACUUCGAUAAAACCCCAAUAAAUUUGGAUCCAAUUGCUGUAGUGUCUCUCUGGAGAUUCAUGUACAAUCAGAAUUUGGUCGACCAACCCAACGAACGAGGAAGCGCUGAACCUCUCCAUCAUUAGUAAACACAGUUUAUUCAUUUAAAAUGACAUCAAUUUUAUCUGUGUGUGCUGUGAGAGGUGGUAGUGGGUUCGAAGUGGCCAAGUAGUCGGGAUCAAGGUCCACAAAAGGAGGUAACAAAGGGUCAUCUGAGGGAAUGAAAUAACCUUUAUAAGCUACUAGGUCCUCAACAUUGAAAGUAGAAUGGUAACCAAGAUGUGGUGGAAUAUCUACAACAUAAGCAUUUGGACCAAUUUGCUUUAAAAUUUUAAAAGGACCAGCACUACGAGCUUGCAAUUUGGAGGCGGGUCCAUGUAGACGCCGCUCUGGCCUAAUGCGGACCAUAACGUAAUCCCCAACGUGAAACUCAAUAUGUCGUUUAUGCAAAUCAGCUUGGAGUUUAUAUUGUGCAUUACUAGCUUCAAGUUGUUUAUUGAUCUCAAUAUGCAAAUCACGAAGAUGUUGUGCAAAUGCUUCGGCUGACACUGACGCUCUAGCCUGUGGGGACAUAGGGAUGAGAUCUAACGGUUCCCUAGGCUUGUACCCAUGAACGGCUUCAAAUGGACUCAUACCUAAUGAACGAUUUAUGGAGCUAUUAUACGCAAUUUGAGUUACAGGAAGGAUCAAAUCCCAAUUUCGAAGAUUUUCCUGGACCAAACAACGCAAUAGGUUACCAAGACUUCUAUUAACUACUUCAAUUUGACCGUCAGUCUGAGGGUGGUAGGCCAUGGAAAAUUUUAAUUUGGUACCCAUCUGUUGCCACAAGGUCCUCCAAAAAUCGCUAGUGAAACGAACAUACUAUCGGACAUAAUGGUCUUCGGAAGCCCAUACAAUUUAACAAUCUCAUUAAAGAACAACAUAGUUACUUUAGACGCAUAUGAGGUUUUACUACAGGGGAUAAAAUGAGCCAUUUUCGAAAAACGGUCGACAACCACAAAAAUAGAAUCAUGUUUCUUUGGGGUGCGUGGAAGGCCUAAUACAAAAUCCAUACUAACGUCUUGCCAAGGACAAUUGGGGACGGGAAGAGGGGUGUAUAGACCUGUGUUCUGCUUAUUCUAUUUACUUAAUUGACAAGUGUUACAAGUACUAACAAUCUUAGCCACGUCUUUCUUCAAGUUAGGCCAAUAGAAUUGACGAUCAACUUCUUCUAUGGUCUUAUCACGUUCAAAAUGACCGGAUAACCCUCCAGCAUGAAUUUCCCACACUAUGAAAUCGAGAACUGAAGUUCGAGGGAUGAACAAUUUAUUGAUUCUAAAGAGAUAACCCUCCUCAAGUCGGAAGCCAUCUGUGGCGCCUGACUGUCCUCUUUGUAAAUGAAGAAAGAUAUCUUUAAAAUCGGGACAUGCCUCGUAAUCCUCCUUAAGCCUUUCAAAACCGAUGACCUUGAUACUCAUGAUCGACAAAAGGGAGACAAGACGACUUAAUGCAUCAGCUGCUUGGUUUUCCAUGCCCUUCUUGUGUUUUAAAACAAACGAGUAGGCCUGCAAAUAUUCGACCCAACGACCAUGCCUAGAACUUAAUCGUUUCUGAGAGUUGAGGUAACGGAGGGCCUCAUGAUCCGAAUAAAGGACAAAUUCCUGGGGCAACAAAUAGUGGCGCCAAUAGCACAAAGCCUGGACCACCGCAUACAGUUCCUUAUCAUAAGUUGAGUAUCGUUGUUUGGCCUCAUUUAACUUCUCACUGAAGUAGGCAAUAGGGUGACGAUCCUGACUCAAGACUCCGCCUAUACCUACCCCGGAGGCAUCGCAUUCAACUUCAAAGACUUUGGAAAAGUCGGGAAGACGCAUGACAGGAGCCUCCGUCAUUCACUUCUUAACCAACUUAAAGGCUUUAGCCGCUUCUUGUGUCCAAUUAAACUUCCCUUUCUUCAUGUACUCCGUAAUAGGCGCCAUAAUAGUGCUAAACCCCUUAAUUAAGCGACGGUAAAAUGUAGAUAAGCCGUGAAAGCUCCUGACGUCAUGAAUAGUUUUAGGCUCAGGCCAGUCAAUAAUCGCCUGAACCUUAGCAGGGUCAGCAAAAACCCCUGUCGAAGAGACAAUGAACCCCAGAAAAACGACUGUAUCGGUGAAGAAAGAGCACUUCUUGACGUUAGCAUAUAGAUUAGUUGCACGAAGGGUAGAGCAAACUUGCGUGAGGUGGUCAAGGUGUUGCUCCUUAGUCUUACUGUAGAUGAGGAUAUCAUCAAAGUAGACAACAAGAAACUUUCCCAUGAAAAGUUGGAGAGUUUGUGUCAUUACCCGCAUAAAGGUACUUGGCGCAUUACUUAGCCCAAAAGGCAUGACCAGCCAUUCAUAAAGACCAUCUUUCGUUUUAAACGCGGUCUUCCACUCAUCACCUGGGCGAAUUCGAAUCUGAUGGUAUCCACUCUUCAGAUCAAUUUUCGAAAAGAUUGUGGCACCAACCAUCAUAUCUAACAUAUCGUCAAGUCUACGAAUGGGAAAACGAUACUUCACCGUGAUCCUAUUGAUCGCGCGACUAUCCACACACAUCCUCCAAGAACCAUCCUUUUUUGGCGUCAAUAGGGCGGGGACAGCACACGGGUUUAAGCUCUCACAAAUAAAUCCUUUGUGAAGGAGGUCAUCCACUUGCCUUUGAAGUUCAGCGUGCUCGGUAGGAUUCAUCCUAUAAUGAGGCAAACUUGGAAGGGAUGCCCCUGGGACGAAAUCUAUGGCAUGUUGAAUAUCCCGUAGAGGAGGUAGAUGAUCAGGUAGGUCCUCCGGGAAGACAUCUCGAAACUCUGGGAGGGUCGACUGGACUUCAACAGGGUUCUCUAUUGUGGGGUGGGAUGAAACCUCCAUGACCACCAAAGCGAAUACAAUUGAGUCACCAACAAGUGUACGCUCAAACUCCGUAGGACUAAUGAUAUGCAAUCCCUUUUGCUCCACACUCUUCUUCGUUUCCAGUGGGCCAACAGGCUUUGGGGGCAGUGGCUUAAGGUGAAUUUUCUUUCCAUUAAACACGAAGGAGCAGAAAUUGGAUCGACCAUAGAUGGUUACAUCUAGGUCAAAUAACCAAGGUCGUCCCAAAAUGAUGUACCCGACAUCCAUUGAAAUGACAUCAUACCAUAUAUGGUCCUUAUACUUCAGGAACUGGAUAGGGACUAAAUAACGCUCCUUAACAGCUAUAGAAGAGGUAUCGACCCAAGAUACGCUGCAUAGCUGAGGGUAAGAAACUGGCUUCAACCCUAGACGGGAUACAGUAGCCAUCGAAAUCGCAUUAAUGCAGUUGCCACUAUCGACGAUAACUUUACAGCCCUUAUUAUUAAUCUUGAUGUAAGUGUGGAAGAUGGCAUGACGGCGCCAAUCAUCGACAUCCCUAGGCUCGGUAAGAGUGCAACGGACGACACCGACUCUAGGCGUAUGUGGGAUAAGGGGACUAGCCUUAAUACAACCUAAAAAGGUAUCUUCACUAUCCUCCAAGUCAACAAACUCUUCUAACUUAGGCUCAUAAACCUGGUCCUCUAAUGGCUCGUCAACUAUACCUUCACGCUCUUCCAAAACUAGGGCUCGGCUAGGACACUUAGAAGCAAUGUGACCAAAACCCUUACAGUUGAAGCAUUGUAAACGAGAGGACGUUCUUAAAACCUCAAAACCUCUACCUUUGUUAUCCGAUGUAGGGGUAGUAUUAGAAGGACGAGGUCCUAGAAUAGACUUAGGGGAUGGAGUGGAUGCAGAAGAGGUUGCAGUGCGGGAGUCACUACGAUUUCUAUACGGUGUCCUAGGCACUAACUCGUAAUCCCGAACGAAAGAAUAGGCGUGGUCAAGAGUGGUGACGCCUCUAAGGACAAGCUCACGCCUAAGAUCAUCCCGUAGGCCUUGCCUAAACCUACUCAAGGUCAUGACCUCAUCCUCAACGACAUGACAUCUCAUUCGAAACUCGUCAAACUGAGCAACGUAUUCGGUCACAGGUCGACUACCUUAUGUAAGUGCAUUCCAUUGAUCCAGCAAGUUACCCCUAUAAGAUUGAGGUAAAUAUUUUUCUUGAAGGCGACGCUUCAUUUCGUCCCAGUUCCCAAUAGGGGGAGCAUGACGCCUCUCCAGAAGGUCCUCAACACUUUCUCAAAAGAGUUGAGCAGUGCCAGUUAAUUUCAAACUGGCAAAUUGUACCCUCUGAUCUUCUGGGAACCCAUACCAGGCAAAGAAGCGAUCCAUAUCCCUAACCCAUUAAUUGAAUACACUAGGAUCUAGACAACCAUCAAAUGUAGGGGCGUCUAACUUAAUAUUUCGAAAGAGACGUUCCUCGUGGCGAGGGGGAGAUGGUGUACCAUGACGGUGAUAUUCCUGCUCACGCCCACGAGCCUGAUGUCCUUCCCUACGAUCAUGUCUAGCGGGGUGUCGACCGCCUUGUGGACGACGAUGGGAUCUAUUAAUGGAAGUUUCAGAGUUUUUAGCUUCAGUCGAAUAUGGAGUUGGGUCAAGAGUGGGCUCUAUUUUCCUCACGAGUAGCGGCUAACUCAGUUUGGACAGCCGUUAAUUGAUGUUGUAAUUGUGCCAACUGUCGGGUGAGGGCUUCAAUAUGGGAAGGGUCCAUGGCAAGGGUACUAGCACUAGAAGUAGUAACACGACCACUACGCAAUUGCAUACAAGGUAACAUUAGCUAAGUGAAGUGCGCUAUAGAGAUCAACAAACAACUAGUGCGAACAGUAGAUUAGCAAUAUGAUAUUUUAUUAUUAUUAUUUGUUUGUUAAAAAUGGGAUUACGUAAAGUCCGAUUCUUAGCAAGCUAAUAAUACUAAUGCGAAUAAAAUAAAAGGCAAAGGUGCAAGUAUAGGCCUAGUCACGUGGGGUAAGCGGGUGAACAAUGAGAGUUAGUUCGCGAAUUCCAAUCAAGUAGGUUUAAGGCUCAAAUUACCAAAGUAUUAGCAACACAAAGAAUUAAUUGAUGCAAUUCUAAAUAACGCAGUAGUAUCAACUAAAAAAAUGGAAAGGAGCAGUGACUCCCUGAGUUCAGUUGUAGCGCCCAGUAUUCCAAUUGGUUUGAACUGCCAAUGUGUGGUGCUUCAGGUAUGUCUCUGUUCUAUCCCUCACUUCAGGUAUUUUACGCUUCGGUAUGUACUCCUGUUAAAUUGCUGUAGUUCUGGUCUUACUGUGAUUGGAAAACUCCAAUCUAGAGGAACAAAGAUGCUCGCAAGGGAGAGGCAGACAGAAUCAUUCCUACUCUCAGACCAUAACAUUUAUUCUCUGGGAAGCGCUCGACUGGGAAAAUAGAUAGACGCUAGUAACAUUCAGGGAGGAUUCAUACUACCAAUGGUAGCUUGCUAGCACUGUGGUUUAUUGCUGUGAGUUGUGCAGUGAUCGGAGAGAAGACAUAGAGAAUUAAGAGGGCUACUAUUGGGGAUAGAACACGGCUACAAAUAAGAACUGGGUUGGAAGUUCACAAAUGGCGAGUGUCGCCGGUGUGAGAGACGCCGACGGGAGUCGCAACGGGGUGGAAGGUGAUCGACGGGAGUCGCGGCUGAGUGGUCACCAGCGGGGAGGCGAUGUACAAGGAACUUGUGGCUGCUUGUUGGGCCGGAGUGCUGAGAGAUUAGGAAGUGGAGGAAUUAGUGGCCAACAGCCGGUUGACCCGAUCAGUUUUUCAAAGAGGCCUUUGACCAAUAAAAAAAAAAAGAAAGCAAAAUAUUUAAAAUAUUGAAAAUCAAAAGAAAUCCAAAUUUACCCUUACUAUUUAAAAAAGAAAGAGAAGAUAGUAAGGAAAGAAAAAUUACUGUAGCACUGAUAAAAAAAGAAAAAUAGACGACCCAUAUUUAAAGUUUUUAUGUUGAUUUUUGGAAAAAAAAACAUGAUUUUAUAUACAUGUGUUGAUUUUUGAAAAAAUGCAUGAUUUUUGGGUAAGGAUAAUAGUUUUGGAGGAGGAAAAUGGAGUAGAGAUCGCCGAAAAAUGGAGUUUUCCGACGAUCUCCACAAAGGAGACGUAAGCCCCACUGACUGGACCGAUUAGGCAUGCCCAAAUGACCCAGACAGCCCAGUUGACUGGACCGUCUGGGCGCCCAGUUGACUGGGCCGUCUGGGUCAACUGGACCGUCUGGGCCAGUCAACUGUGCCCAAACAACCCAGUCAACUGGGUCGCCUGGGCGCCUAGUGGACUGGGCCGCCUGGGCUCCCAGUUGACUGGGCUGCCAGGCGCCCAGACGGCCCAGUCAUCUGGGCCGACCGCCAGAGGCUCAGAUUUUUUUUUAAAUUGCUUAUUUAUUUAUUUCCUUUAAUUUUUUAAGUUAACUAUUUAUUUUAAUUACUUAUAUUGUGUUGUCUAAUAUUUAAUUAUUAUUUAAAUUGUUUAAUUUUAAUGUAUAUUAUGUAUUUAAAAUUAUUUCUUUGAAAUGCUUAAUAUAAAUGUUUUAUUAUUUAUCUAAAUAUUUAUUAUUUGCCAAUUUAGUUUUAAUUACUUAUUUUAUGUUAAGUAAUAGUAAAAAAAUUAAAAGAUAUAAUUAAAUAUUAAAUAAGUAAUAUACAUAAAGAACUUAAAUAAAUAUUUAAACAUCUGUAAACUAAUAAAUAAGUAAUUAAAUUAGAAAAUUAAAAUAUCAAUCAAAUUAAAUUUCUGCAAAUCAAUUAAAGUAAAUUUGUAAAUAUUAAAUAAGCAAUAUGCAUAAAAUUAAAAAAAGUAUUUAAACAUUAAUUAAAAAUAAAUAAUUAAAUUAAGUGUUAGUAAAAAAAUAAUUAAAAUAAGCAAUUAAAAUAUUAAAUAAAUGAUGAAAAUAAGUGUUAGUAAAAAAAUUAACGAAAUAAUUAAAUAUUAAAUAAGUAAUAUACAUAAGGAAUUUGAAUAAAUAUUUAAACAUUCAUAAAAUAAUAAAAAUAAGCGAUUAAAUUAGAAAAUUAAAAUAUCAAUCAAAUUAAUUAUUUGCAAAGCAUUUAAAUAAAUAUCAAUAAAGAAUUUAAAUAAAUAUUUAAUCAUUUUUUAUUUUUUAAUAUUGAAUUUAAUUGUUUAUAAAUAUUUCAUGAAUUAUGUAAAUUGUUUAUUUUAGUAAAAUAAUUAAUUGUUUUUUAUUUCAUUUUAUUUAAAAUAUAAAUAAUGAAAUAAAUAUAAUAAACAAUUGAAUAUUCAAUAAACAAUUCAAAUAAAUGAGAAAUUAAUAUAAAUAAUUAAAUGAAGUAAAUAAAUAUGAAAUAAACUAUUAAAAUAAGUAAUUAAAUAUUAAACAAACAAUAUACAUAACCAAUUAAAGUAAUUAAUGAGAUAUUUAAAUAAAUAUUAAAUUAAAUAUUUAAUAAGUAAUUUAAUAAAUCAAAUGAUACUUUAAUUGUUUAUGUAUAUUAUUUGUUUAAUAUAUAAUUAUUCAUUUCAUAGUUUAUUUGUUUAUUUAAAUAUUUCACGAAUUAUGUUAAUUAUUUAUGUAUAUUGUUUAUUUAAAUAAAAAAUAAAUAACUAAUUGAAAUAAAUUCAAUAAACAAGUAAUUUAAAUGUUAAUUAAGCAAUAAAAAUAAUUUAUUAACAUAAAUAACAAAUAAAUAUAAAUAAUAAAAACUAGUUUAAAUAUGUAAUUAAAUAUUAAAUAAACAACCAAACAAUUAAAAUAAAUAAUUUAAAUACACAUUUAAAUAUUGAAUAAAUAAUUUAAAUGAACAAUUUAAAUAAAUAGUUAACAAUUAAAUAUUUAAUACACAAUUUAAAUAAGUAAAUAAACUAUUUAAUUUUCAAAUAUUAUGCUCUAUCUAUUUUCUCUUAUACAAGGUCUAAAUAUUUUAUAUUUUACAAGAUGAAUUAUCAUUUGGACGUCGCUAUGAGACAGAUUCCCGAUAAAAUUACGUCGAACUAUAAUUUUAUCAGCUUCGCAUUAGUUCUAGAUUUGGAAGUUGUUGAUGACAUUAACACAUUCAACAACUAUCCAUGGGGACAAAGCUGACAGUUAUCAGCUCUCCUCAACGAUCCUGAGGUACGUAUUAUUCAUUUGUGAUUUAUGUUGUACGUCAUUUUGAAAUUUCGAUGCAUGGUUAUUAACUCGAUGAACAUUUAAAUAAUAAUUAAAUGAUUAUUUGAAUGAUAAAUAAUUAAAUGAUUAUUUAAACGAUAAUAAAUAACUAAUUGAAAUAAAUUCAAUAAACAAGUAACUUAAAUGUUAAUUAAGCAAUAAAAAUAAUUAAUUGACAUAAAUAACAAAGAAAUAUAAAUAUUUUAAAUUUUACAAGAUGGAUUGCCAUUUAAACACUGCCAUGAGACAUAUUGCUAACAAAGUUGCGUCGAACUAUAACUUUGCUUGCUUCGCAUUAGUCCUAUAUUUAUUGGAUGAGGAGCACGCAAACCUGUUACAUCGAUCCUACUUAUGACGAUAAUUCUGACACAGUUGGGAGAUGCAUUCAAGAAAUACGACGAUGCAUGCAUGGUCAUUAACUCGGUGAAUAUUUUUUUAUUUAUGAAAUAAUUGUAUAUAUAUUGUAAAAUUUAUUUAAAUAAAGUAAUGAAAUAUUAGAUACAUACUACACACAACCAAUUAAGAUAAUUUAUAAAUGAAAUAUCUAAAUAAGAAAUUAAAUUAAAUAUUAAUUUUUCAUUUAAUUAAGUGAUUAAAUAAAUAAUUAAACAACGUAAUUAAAUAUUAAAUAAAUAAUAUGCAUAACUAUGCCGAAGAGGACCCCCAACUUGACAGAUAAUAUCGUGAGUUUGAAUGACACCCUGUACGAAACAUAUUAUUGAGGUGCCAGAACAAAUAGUUAGCAAGAGAACUAGAUUGCUGUCACAAUACAUUGUUUCUCUGUACACGAUCGAGGCAAAGAAGAGAACAUUUGUUGACAGUACGUUGCCCAACUCCUUUCGUGAAAUCGACUCGGGUGAUUGUGAAAUCUUCGCAUUGAAGUUAGGACCGUAAAUGGAUCGGAUAUAUGGAUCGGAUCUGCUCAAAUUCGAUCCGAUUCGUUAAUAAUAAUUAUCCUAUCCUAUCCGAUCCGAUUCAAUAAUCCGACGGAUAUUUGAAUGUUAAGUCCAUAUUCGAUUAACUAUGUUAUUGGAUAUCCGAUUCGAAAUUGAAAAAAUUAGAUAAAUUAAGAUUUUAUUUAUUUAUCAGAUUAGAUUGACCUAUAUCCAUAUUUGAUUUAUUUAGUAAACGGAUUAUCGGAUUUGAAUCUCGAUUGGAUCUUCCGAUUGAGACCCUAAAUCUAUCUCCCAUUAAUUUCAUCGGAUUCAGAUCAAAAUCCAAUCUAUUGACAGCCCUAAUUGAAGUACAUUGAAUUUUUAGUAUCGAACGUGGCAUAGAGCUGAUAAACUAAACACACAUUAAUAUACAUAACUAUGCCGGAAAUGACCCCCCAACUUGACAGAUAAUGUCGCGAGUUUGGAUAAUGUGAUAAUUAAGCCGGAGAAGACGAUGAAAGUGACAUUAUGUAAGAAAUAUGUUUAUUGACGUGUCAAAGCAAAUGGUUAGUAAGAGGACUAGAUUGCUAUCACAACACAUUAUUUUUCCGUACACUAUCGAGGCAAAGAAGAGAACAUUCGUUGACAGUACGUUGCCCAACCUCUUCCGUGAAUUCGAACCAGGACGAUUGUGGAAUCUUUGCAUUGAAGUUAGGGUUAUAAAUGGAUCGGAUCUACUCAAAUUCGAUUCGAUCUGUUAAGAAUAAUUAUCCUAUUUGAUCCAAUCCAAUAAUCCAAAGGAUAUUUGAAUGUUAAAUUCUUAUCCGAUUAACUAUAUUAUCAGAAAUUAGAUCCGAAAUUGAAAAAAUUAGAAAAAUAAAAAUUUUAUUUAUUUUUUCAUUGAAAAUCAUAGCCCCAACAAGAUUUUAAUUAAUUAUUUAUUUUAAAAAAUAUUUGAACUAUAUUGAUGGGCUCACUUAUUAUAAUAGAAGGUCUAAAAUAUCGUUUUGGAAUGUUUUAGUGAUAUCGGAUCAGAUCGGAUCGAUCUAUAUCCAUAUUUGAUUUAUUUAGUUAACGAAUUAUCGAAUUUGAAUCUCUAUUGGGUUAUCGGAUUAAAACCCUAAAUCCAUCUCCCAUUAAUUUCGUCGGAUUCGGAUCAAAUUGAAAUAUAUUGAAUUUUUAGCAUCAGACGUGAGUAGAGCUGAUAAACCAAACACACAUUAAAAUGUAAACUUUUUUUUAUUAUUUACAUUGUGAUCCAUAGUUGUAAUAAUUUAAAACGUAAGUUUUUUUUUUUAAAACGUUUAUAAUACUUGAAUUUUUAUGUAAUUGUAUAAUAAAUAACCAAUUACUCUUAAUUACAUAUAUAACACACUAUAAAUAAAGAAAAUUGAGGAAAUCAGUGACAUAUUAUAAAUAGAGAGUUUAUACAAUUUAAGUAGAUAUUACAUAUUCAUCGGGUCAAUUUUCACGUAAUCAAUAAUAUACUAUAAAUAGAGAAAAUUGAGGAAACCAAUAAUAUACUAUAAAUAGAGAGUACAUACGAUUUAAAUAGAUAUUACACAUCCGUUGGGUAGAGAGUAACAUACUAUAAUCGAGAACUUCUCACUUGACUUCAUUUAGUAGAAGAAAUAUNNNNNNNNNNNNNNNNNNNNNNNNNNNNNNNNNNNNNNNNNNNNNNNNNNNNNNNNNNNNNNNNNNNNNNNNNNNNNNNNNNNNNNNNNNNNNNNNNNNNNNNNNNNNNNNNNNNNNNNNNNNNNNNNNNNNNNNNNNNNNNNNNNNNNNNNNNNNNNNNNNNNNNNNNNNNNNNNNNNNNNNNNNNNNNNNNNNNNNNNNNNNNNNNNNNNNNNNNNNNNNNNNNNNNNNNNNNNNNNNNNNNNNNNNNNNNNNNNNNNNNNNNNNNNNNNNNNNNNNNNNNNNNNNNNNNNNNNNNNNNNNNNNNNNNNNNNNNNNNNNNNNNNNNNNNNNNNNNNNNNNNNNNNNNNNNNNNNNNNNNNNNNNNNNNNNNNNNNNNNNNNNNNNNNNNNNNNNNNNNNNNNNNNNNNNNNNNNNNNNNNNNNNNNNNNNNNNNNNNNNNNNNNNNNNNNNNNNNNNNNNNNNNNNNNNNNNNNNNGAAUAGGUUUUAAAAUAAAUAAUUGAAUAAAGUAAUUAAAUAUACAUAACCAAUAAAGAUAAUUAAUAAAGAAAUAUUUAAACGAGAAAUCAAAUUCAAUAUUGGAUAAUUCUACAUAUAUUAAUUUAUCAGAAUGUCCAUAAUGUAUAUGUGAAAUUUUAUGAGUAAAGGAUCGAAAAAACUGUUUUUCAACUCUCCAAUAAUAUUAUGGCACUUGUACAUUAUGGGAUAAUGUUUUUAUUUAACAAUCAAUUAAAAUAAAGUAAUUAAAUAUUAAUGACUAAUAAUAUACAUAACCAAUUAAGAUAAUUAAUUCCUGAAAUAUUUAAAUAAUUAAUUAAUAUUUAAAAAUUAAUUUUUUAUUCAAAUAAGUGAUUAAAAUAAUAAUUAAAUAAGGUAAUGGAAUAUUAAAUACUUAAUAUACACAAUUAAUUAAGAUAAUUUAUAAAUGAAAUAUCUAAAUAAGAAAUUAAAUUAAAUAUAGAUUUUUUAUUUAAUUGAGCGAUUAAAUAAAUAAAUAAACGAAGUAAUUAAAUAUUAAAUAAAGAAAUACAUAAUUAACUAAGAUAAUUAAUUAAUGAAAUAUUUAAAUAAGAAAUUAAAAUAAAUACUAAUUCUUUAUUUAAAUAAGUGAUUAAAUAAAUAAUUAAUUAAAGUAAAGAAAUAUUAAAUAAACAAUGUACAUAACCAAUUAAGAUAAUUAAUUAAUGAAAUAUCUAAAAAAGAAAUUAAAUUAAAUAUUAAUUUUUAUUUNNNNNNNNNNNNNNNNNNNNNNNNNNNNNNNNNNNNNNNNNNNNNNNNNNNAUUUAUUAAAUAUACAUAAUCAAUUAAGAUAAUAAAUUAAUAAAAUAUUUAAAUGAGAAAUCAAAUUAAAUAUUAAUUUUUUAUUUAAGCAAGUGAUUAAAUAAAUAAUUAAAUAAAGAAAUUAAAUAUUAAAUAAAUAAUAUAAAUAAUCGAUUAAGAUAAUUAAUUAAUGAAAUAUUUAAACAAGAAAGUAAAUUUAAUAUUAAUUUUUUUAAUUUGAAUAAUUGUUUAAAAUAAAUAAUUAAAUAUAAAGUGAAAAGUGUUUGAUUUUUUAAUUUGUAAGUUAAGAGUAUUUUUGUCUUUUGAAACAAAAUUCUAUUUUUAUAAUUAUAUAAACUACUUAAGGGUAUUUUUGUCUUUUACUCAAUAAUAGGCUAUUUUGGUGAUAGGCAAAUUCUUUUUGGUUAAAGUGAGAAAUUGGCCCUUUGACUUGGCCAAACUAAAAAUUACCCCUUAGGAAGUGGGGGAUGAUGGAGAUGGUGGUGAGAGACGAACCGAUGACGCCGACAGUGCUGGAGAGUGGUGUCGUCGGCGUCGGUGAACGGUAGACGAGUCGACGUCGUGGAAGAAGACUCGGGUUUGUGGAUAGUGAGAUGUGGGCCGGUUGGAGUUUGUAUAUAAUGGGCUAGGGGUGAUAUGGGUUUGAUCGGGUGUAUGGAUUACGAGUUAGUGGGUUACUUAGGUUUGGGCUGUGUUCAAUAUGGCCUGAGUUUAGACUGAAAAUUAUGUUGGACUGGAAUAUAUGUUGGGCUAGAAUAUAUGGAAUUAAAAAAAAAAAUGGGUUAGGGCUUGAAACAGCAACUUUAAUGCAAAAGGAAGCAGCAAAUCAAUCAAAUUGAAUGGCAGAAUUUUUUUAUUUAUUAUUAUUAUUUUUUUAAUACUACAGGAAGAAGAUCAAAAUUUUGGAAUCCAGGUGUGAACAGUAACACGAUUUUUUUUUCAACUAAGUCUGAAAAUUGAAGAAUAAAAUUGCUGUGUUUACCAAAAUCCUUUUAAUUUGUGCUGUUCCAACAGAUUUAUGGGAAGAAGAUACAAAGAAAUUGUGGGUUGAGGAUGAGAAAUUACCAAGAUUCGACUCUGAUACCAAAUUUGAUGCAGCACCAACAUGACAGUUAAUUGGAAAAUUAGAAUAGAUCUAUGGGAAGGGAAAAUUAGAGAGAAGAAGGGAAGGGGAUUCAACAGAAGGGAAGAAAGAAACAGGAAGAGAGAAAAAUGCCAUAAGCCACCAAAUAAUAUUCAUUCAUCAUCAACUGAAAAUUAUAAUGUAAAAUAGGUUUAAAUAGUUAAGCAACCCUAACGAGCUUGGACCUGAGCUCAUACAAGUCCAAAUCUUAAAUAAUAGUCCAAAAGAUAAAUAAAGCAUAAAUAAAGUUUAAAUAAAAUAAGUAACGUCCGAUGUCCUCAUCAUAUAGUCUAAUGAGUAAGAAGAUUUUAGAUAAUAAUAAAAGAACAUAUUUUAAUAGAAUUCUCGUGUGAAGACAAGCAUAAUUAGGAAACAACAAUAAUAGGAACUUUUACCAAAAUAAUGAACCACAGUUGGCAAAACCGGUUGCCUAUUUAAAAUUAAAAUAGAAAGAUAUAGAUUUAUUUGUCGAGGAUGUGCAUCAACAUAUACAAAGUAAAAAGGAGCAUAUGAAACUAAGUUUGCAAAUUGAAGUAAUCGAAAGACCUAGUAUAUUUUACCUCAAGGCUCGUAGAGCCUUUAGUACGCAAAGGUUCAUUACUCACUCCUGUUCAGUUUUAUCUACUCACAAGAAAUCAUAAAUAAUCACAAUGGCAUCUCUACACGAUUCGAAAAAUUUAAUCACAAGAAAUCAUAAAUAAUUAUUCAGUUUUAUUUGCAACUGUUCAUUAGUCAAUGGUAAUUAGCACCAUGCUGCUUUUUUAAUAACCAGAGCAGAAUGACCACAAGGUAUCCUAAAACGCUUCUCCUAGAAUAUUAGAAUGCAAAGGGAAAAGGUCAGCACAACAUUUUUUUCUUCCAUAAAAGGAAAAUUUAUUGAAAUGGAGAUCCUAAAGUAAAAGAUACAGCUGACAUGUAUAAAUGAAAACAACACACCAUUUUGCAAAACGUGCCCCUUGCAUAGUAUUGAGCAGAUCUAGAAGCCAAUGUAUCUAACGCCUAGCACCAAGAUUCAUUUUUGGACCCUAGUGGUGAAACUAACUGUGUAAAUAAUAAUAAUAAUAAUAAUAAUAAUAAUAAUAAUAAUAAUAAUAAUAAUAAUAAUAAUAAUAAUAAAUAAACUGAGAUAUGAUAUAAAACAUAUUUUGAAAAGAAAUUCAAAUAAUCCAAUACAUCAAUAAAUCAUGCAUGAACACAGUUAACCCCAAACUGAACGCUUUAGUUUGACUUGGUGAUGAACAAAAAAUGGCAGAAGAAAGUAUUCACAAAAAGUUUGCAACGUUAUAAAAUGAUACAAUUGAAUUUGAAAUAUAACUCCUUGACCUAGUGAACAGCAUAUUUGAUGACAAAUCAACAAAGUCAAACCAUAACAUUAAAUUCAAUAAAUGAAAAGGUACAUAAAUAUAUAGGUGCAUGCAUUUAAACAAUAUGUAUUUGCUCCCCUUAAACUCUACUGGCUAUUCCAGCUGUAGGCCAUCAAAUUGAGAUUAUAAUAGUACAUAGGCAAGGUAAAACUUUGAAAGCUGGCCCAAAUUAUUUUGUUUAGAAAUAAGAAGAUAUUAAUUAGAUGACAAUGUAUAAAUAUUACAAGCAAGUGUAAGUUGGAAUGUUGUAGGAUGCACCUCGAAAUGCAAUAACAUGUAUAAGAAAAGUGCAUUAUCCAAAGACUCGGAAUUAUUCCAAAUAUCCCAAUAUUAGAUACAUGAAUAGGAAUAAUAUGAUACGUUAAGCAAAGAAAUGAAAAAGGCCUCGUGAACUGAAUAUCUUAUUCCACAAUAAAACAUUUCCAGAGUCAUGCACCAAGAAAUGAUAAGAAAGAAGAAUGCUAAUAAUAUUAGCAUACUAUAAAGUAAUAAACACACUUCUACACUGUCAAUAGGACAUGUCUGUUGAAACAAACAUCGUUAACAAGACUUUCUAGUAUUUAACUUAAGUGAAUGAAAGAAAUUCUUGAAAUACAAAAAAUACAAGUCUGCAAAAUCAAUCGAUGUGAUGAAAACUCAAAGUUACAGUUGAUAUGAAUAUACAUAUUACAAUAAAAGGUUAUAGGAAAAUAUGGAAAAAUUGUUUAACAAAACAAGAAAACUAUUUGUAGCAAAACAAGUAUACCUAGUCUGAAUGCUAAACAUUUGAUUAAUUUAAAUAAACAUAAGGAAAUCAGAAAAAGAGUGGGGAAUUGAUACAAACCUUUGAUAAAGCCAAUAUUUAGAAGGCCGCUAAAGUAAGAGAAGAAUUGUAUGAAGUUCCACAAAGAAGCCUAAAACCCAUUUGGGGGUCAAUGUCUUAUUUUUCAGAUCUUUCUAACGUAUUUAUGAAUGAAAGAAUUUCUCUGUAGACAAAAUUUUGGUACAUGUUUUGUGUAAAUUUUCUACAUUUGAUAGAUGUGCUUGUUUUUACUCUUGAUAAUGCUACAUAAAGCGACCGUGAUAGAAAACUGGCUCUGGAAGAUACAAACCCACAAAAUCAAGUGUUUGACCCUGCGCUUUGUUUAUCGUCAUUGCAAAGCACGGUCUGAUUGGAAAUUGAGUUCUUUUGAAUUGAAUUGAGUUUCGGUCGUUUUUCAGAGGUAUAAAAGAGAUUCUUGGCAAAAAAACAUAUUUUUCACAAUACUCGCCAGUUGUGAUUUCAGCAAAAAUUACGUUCUUUUGAAACUUUCGACAAGUAAGGCGUGUCCCAUUGCAUAACCCUUCAGAAGGAUUGAUAUUUCGCAAUAACAUGACAUGACAAUUUACCUUAAGUUUCAAUUCAUGCGGUGGAAUACCAUUUGGGGUUAGACUAUUCAAAAAAUCUUAUCACAAGCUUUGUUCUAAUUUAUCAAUUGCUUCAUUAAAACUAUAAUAUGUGAACAUUUCACUUGGAAUCUGUUCUAGCAAAAUUCGGUUAAUAUGAUCAACACCUUCAUUUGUAGGCGUAAGAAUAACUCGAUUUAUCAUUGCAUGGAGCUUAUCAUCAUAUGCUUCUAUAUCUGGAAAAACAUGAUGUAUCAAAUUUUUUAAAGAUGUAAUUUCAUCUUCAAAUGGCAAAACUAUAUUAUUUGGAAGUUAAACGCAUUUACAACUAUGUUCUUUCUCUGUUCCAUCUCCAAUUCUUAGAAAGUAAUCACAAAAUGUGGUAUCCAACUUUGCCCUCAUAUUCUUGAUCAAUGGUAGAUGCAAAUACAAAGGUCAUAAGUUUGAGAAAACUAAGUUAGCUUUCAUUAUGUCGUUUUUUCCCUUUUGGCACCACUGGUAGAAUUUGACGAAAAUCUCCUCCAAAAACUAUUACUUUUCCACCAAAAAGCAAGUUACAAUCGGUAAUAUCUCUAAGCAUCUUAUCUACAGAUUCAACAGCAAAAUGAUUUACCAUCGGCGCUUCAUCCCAAAUGAUCAACCUAGGCAUUUUCAACAAAUUUCCUAAAGUCGAUUGCUUGCUAACAGAACAGCUUAUUUCAGCAACUGUUUCCAAAUGAAUUUUAAAUCUUGAAUAAGCCGUUCGGCCUCCAGGUAAAAGAGAUGCAGAUACUCCAGAUGAUGUAAUUGCCACAGCAAUUAAAUUUUGUGACCUUACACCAGUUAGGAACGCUUUAUAUACAAAUGUUUUUCCUGUCCCACCUAGACCGUCAAUGAAGAAAGCACCACUCGAUUCUGAUUUUACUUUUUCCAUAAUUAUAUCGUAUGCAAACUGUUGUUCUUUAUUUAAUGUUGUAGCACAAGCAAGACGCCCUUCAAUAUCAAAAUUAGUUGUCUCCUCUUCAACCAUUCUUCUCAACCUUUCAGUUUCAUCUAUAUUUACAUUGAAUGGCACCAUGGCAUAAUCAUUUAUGUUCUUACCUAAUGAUUCCAAAAUAGAACUAAUGUCUUCUAAAGCUCGUAGUUCCGCAAUCUCCUUAGGUACAUUUUGAUGUACAUAGUCGUCAAACAUAUAAACCUUAAACUUAUCCCACAAGAACUUUGGAUGCUUAGGAUUGCAAAGCGUAAGAAGUGAUGUAAAGAGACGUCUUAAAGAAGCAGACAUUUUGUAAACAAUAGCUUAAUAAACCAUGUAAAAGUGCUGCUUCUCGAUAUAUAGCAACAGUUAUCCCAUUCAACGUUCGUAAAUCACGAAAUGAUACUGGUCCUCUAAUAUGAUUAAGGAGAAUGCGAAGGAAAUAUCGUUCUCCUUCAGAAGGAUUAGCUGUUAAAAUUCGUCCUAUAAUAAUUUGUUUCUUUCUGGGAGUCCAAAUUUUGUUAUUUGCAUUCCAAACAAAAUAUUUUGGGAAAUCUCGAUACAACAAUGUACGAGCAAACUCAUUUUCUUCAUUCAUUCGAAAGAAUUCAGUUAACAUAGUUCUUCUCGUAUUUUCUUUUUUAACAAUAGUAGAUAAGUCAUCAUGAUCAGUGUAUGUUAUUUGUUGAUGAUCCUGAAUAUGAAGCUGUAAAGAAUAAACAUAUGGAUAAAUAUCUGACAAAUUGAAAGAAAAAAUUCUCCACGUAGCCUCAAGCGGAGAUAUCCAUCUAGCAGAUUGAUAAGCAGAAAUUUUAUCGAUUUCCUCAUUUGUUUCAUUCAUGUCAACGGAGAAAUUAAUACGAUCAUGUCCUUUGUAUACAUUUAUACAAAUAUUUUACAGCUUUGAUAGAAGAACAUACUUCAACAUUGAUAUGACAAUCAAAUUUUGCACUUAAAUAAGGAUUUAUGGUAUGACCUAUAAAUUGUCUCACAUUUGACCCCUACCUAUAACAAAAAUACCAUUAUUACGUCGCAUAUACAAUGGAUAUGAGUUAUCACCAAAUAUAGUAGUAUUACUAUGAUCCUCGAGUAUUUAUUUUUACAACCUUUAUUUGUCUCCAUACAUACAUUUUUAGGAUUCAAAUUUCCACAAGGGUCAUGCAUAUUAUGUUUAACAAUAACUGAAUAAAGAUGGGGGUGUUUUUGUUUGUUAGAAAUUUCACAAGACACUAUCUUAUCAACCUCUUCAGCACAACAAAUUUUGUAGCCGCAUUUAAAAAUCAACAAUAGAUGUGCAUGAGAAAGCCCUCUUUUUUGAAAUUCAAUAAUAUAUAUAUGAGCAACAACGAGGCCAAAUAUAUUUUCCUUAUAUAAAUCAUUUUUCAAUUCUUCUAAUUUUGCUCUAAAUAUAUGCGCGAUUAGAUCUGGUCGAUUCUGAACCUCAUCAUUGUGUCUUAGUUCUCCCUUGAUUUCUGGCCAAUUUGGAUUACAUGUUACAGUUAAAAAUACAUAUGAUUUUUCAUAACAUUGUACAAUAGUCAUUGCAUCCAUAUAUCUCUUUAGUAGAUCUCUAGGACCACAUGCAAAAGAUUGUGGUAAAACAAAAUUCCUUCCAAUUUUGUACCCCUUUGUCUCUCCAUUUUGAACAUUAUCUACAAUGCCUUGAUAAAGUUCAGCACGAUUUUUUUUGUUAUUACGAAAAUAAUAUAAUCUAGCAGUUUCAAUCUUAACAUAUAUAUCUACAACAUAUUGUUGAAAUAGUCUACCAGUGUGAAGUAACACAAACGUACCAGAAAGUCUGAUUUGUAAUUUGUAUGAAUAGUAUUCUUGGCAAGAAACCUGAGACCAUUUUUUCGUUCUAUUGAGCACUGCAUGAUGUAACAAAGAAACAAUUUCAAUAUUCAUUUGCAACAUUCACAUUAUAGAAGGUAUAAAAUUUACUAAAAUGUGCAUUCACUAACCUGUAUCCUCUUUUUCAAGAAUUUCAGCUGCAAAAUUAAUUGUGCUGGAAAAAGCAACAGAGCUAGGCAAAUGUUGAGGCUGAAAGUAUGUGCUUCUACAUCUCUCAAUAGCCGACCAGAUUCACCAUAUGGAAAAAUCAAAGAAUAUUGCAAAGGAUCAUAACAACCAUAGUAUUAGUGAACCCAGUGUGAAACACCAGAAUGACAAUAUAUAGUAAUAUCACGAGUGUGAACAUUUGCAUUUUCAUCAUCUUCGAUCCAUACAACAGCUACUUGAGAUGCUGUAGGAGUAUUAAAAACUCUUUGAUCAACUCCUGGAUCACAUCUUAUAUGUAUUCGAUGGUCAUGUAAAUUAGUCAUAUCACUUAAAGGCCUAAAGAAUCUACUAUAUGGAUUUACUUUAAGGAUUUCAAUUAAAGUAAUUAAAGUAAAUUCAAUGAAGGUCUCUGAAAUUUUCAUACAAUUUUGAAGCUCAUUAUCUGUAUCGUAAAAAUAUAAUUACAUAUAAGAAGGCGUAUUAUUUUCAGGCAUAAGUUAAUUUAUAUAAUGAUAUACUUGUCCCUAAAUCCUAAAUGUGUAAAUAUCUCUAUAUGUUUUCAAAAGUUUUUUGUCGUGCUUUACACCAAACGAUGUGAACGCAAAAUGGUUAUUAUAUCCUUUUGCAUUUUUUUUUAAUUCCAUAUAUAUUGGAUCUUUAGAAGUAAACAAGCCGUACGACUCAAUUGGUAGUUCUGGCAUAAAGAGCUUAACUUUUCCAUCAGAACAACAAAAACCUUUACUUUCUCUAUAAAAUUUUCGUGCACCACAAUGCUUACAGUCAAUGCAUGUUGGUAAUAUAUAUGCAGUACUUGGUAUAAUCAAUAUCUUAGAACUUUCUUCUACUUCAGAAUUAGAAAUAUAAGUUGUUUCUUGGUUUGAAGUAGAAGCUUCAAAACGAUCAUUUAUAGUAGAUUCUUGCAUUUAGACAACACUCGAAUUAUUAUCUCCACAUAACAUACGGUCAGUUAUCCUCCUGCGAUGAUCAAUGCACCCGAUUUUAACUCGAUUUCGCCCCUUUCUCUUUGAUUAUGUUGUUGGCGAAUGAAGGCACGGUAUGACUCAUUUGUACUCUCAGAAAUAAUUUGAGGGUUAAUUAUAUCAGGCUCUCCAUCAGCACAUGUUUCGAAAAUAUCCAUCAGAACACUAAGACAACUUGUUGAACAAUUAGAAUCCAACUUUAGCAACAGGAACUAAAAAUACUGAAAAAAAAAUACCACGUGUUAAAUUAUAUAUAAGCUAAAACUGAACUUUACAAAAUAAAAAAUGAUCUAAACCAUGACUAAAAAUUUACUUUACAGGGCUCCUAAAUGUUUAUUAUAAAUGUGAAAUGUCAUUUUGGCUAUCUUCAUAAUACUAUAAAUAGGAUCAGAAAUUACGCUCAUUGCAUGAGGAGGACUAUUUUUACUGACUAAAAAUAAAACAUUCGAUGAAAAAAAAGAAGAAGAAAAAAAGGCUAAUCAAUAUAAUCUAUGAAGAAAUAAGACUGAAUUUUUUCAACGGCAAAAUAAAUCAUAAAAUGCAAAGAAAACCUAAGAAUGUUAUAAUUGACCUCUUAUAUUGGACUCUCAUAAAUUGCACAGAAUCUUGGGAAAAUUUAUUAGCGUCUGCAAGCCUAUUUUUCAUCUUACGAAGAAACCAACUAAAGGGAGGAUUCAUACAGUGCACAAACAAAGCAUAACAACUAAUAACCUUGUUAGAAAUUUAAAAACACAACUUACUAUAACAAGUGAUCAAAAUAAACCUACUAUUCAAACCUAUGAAGAAUCAAUUAGAAGAAAAAAAUUAUUUAGAAAAAGUUACCUAAGAAAGACCGUAUUACCACGGUUCAAAAAAAUACAAUUGUCUGGAAGAAAAAAAAAAAAAAAAUUUAAAAAGUUACACGACAAAGACUAUACUGCUACAGUCGUAAAUUUCACCAACCAUCAGUUGCCAUAGAAUCCCUUUUUUCCACCUAUCUCUGUCGCUUGCGAGCACCCGAAAUUUCUGAAGAUUAACGUGGUCAUGUUGAAUUUAACGAUUACAUAUUUAUUUAUGUUUAAUUUGAUAUCUCUAUUUCCUUUUAUUAGUUUGAUUUUGGUGGUUCAUGUGGCCCGUUCUCUGCAAUUUGUUUUUGUCGUCCCUAAUCUACCUCUCAUUGGUUCUUGUUCAUUUUCUGCCAAUUUCAUCCUGCGAAGUCUACUGGCUCGGUGAAAAGAUAAGAUUUUCUGGUUUUAGACCACAAAUCAUAUAAAUCUAACUUCCUCUGAUAAUUUUCAGCUAGAUCUUCCGUGGAAAUUGUUCGUUGUUGAUGUCCUAAGUUCUAGUCUACCAAGGUUUCUGCUUUUAGAACACAUCUGAAGACUUAUGGCUUCACCUAUGGAUCAUGAGCCAACGUUCAUUUUAAGAGACAAGUUAAUCUUUUUGCAAGUGAGUAUUGGUACUAAUUUUACGGGGCAUCUAAUUCUUCUUUUACGUUUUUUUUCCCAUGUGGCAUCAUAAAGUAAUUUCUCAAAUUAAUUGAGUUCCUUUUCCAAUUACGCCAUAAAUAAUUCAAUGGUGUUAUGUACGUAAAUUAACUGUGUGUGUGUGUGUUUUGUGCUUGCUUAUGAGACUAUUUGUAAUGCUUUUCAACAUCCCACGAUGCUUCCACUAUAUAUUCAAACUCUUUUCCAUUAUCCUUAUCUCUCAGUCUCUCAACACUUCUAAUCUUCAAUUAUAUCUUCCAUUAGUAUUGUCUCUGUAAGUGUUAUGCCCUAAAUUCGGAUUAUAUAUUUAAUGCAUUUGAUUUUGGCGAGAUCUAUUAUUUAUUUAAAUUAAUUUUGUAAUAAAUAAUAUUAAAUAAUAGAAUCCGAAGACCCAAUUUUUAGGUAAUCUAUUAAUCACAAGGAAUUGUAAUUGUGAGAUACAAAUUACAUAUAAUUGGAUCUUGAAUAAACCAUGGUCGUAAGUAAUAACGAGAUACGGAUAUCGUUAAUACAAUUAGACCAUCACGUGUGGCAUUUCUUACUUAUGAAGUAAGUAGCUGAUCUCACGAGCUAAAGUGUGGUGACACUUAAAUGAACAUGUGGAUGUUUUGUUGUAGAACAAAACAUUGGAGACCCGCUAAAAGAUUCCACAUGGAUAACUAUCUGAGUGUCAGUGGCUAAUCUCUAACGUUCGGUAGUGGAAUUGAUCCUUUGACUUGAGGUCGUCAUAGUACCCUAUAUGAGGACAGUCAUACUUUGGCGGUGUUGGAUGUUGCUCUGAAAGGGGCCGCUAAUACGACAUCGUUCGGGUACGUCAAGAAUCGCAUGAAGGUUGUGAUUGAUCAAUAAAGGAUUCGUCACUCUUAGAUAGUAGGAGAUUAUGAUCUGCGUUUCAUUCAAUUAAGUCGAUGAUGAAAUCCUUGGCCAAGGUGUACUCAUAAGUCGAAAAGGGGUUUUCGAUUUAUAUUGACUUAAUAGUGGAAUGAAAGAUAUGAUCGAUGAUCGAGAUUGACACAAUUCCAUAUCUCGUAAUUGAUCGGAUCGUAUUGACGAAGGGAUAAUAGUUCCACGGUAAACGAACGAAUUUGGUUUUGUCAUACCACGUGACAUUUUCCGUCACAUGUAUUGCCCUGACACAUUGCUAGAUGUCAAUCAGGGACGGCGAAUGUGAAUUGACGAUAAAUUAAAAGGGUAUAUUAAUUUAUCAAUUUUGAUUAGAUCAAAAUAAUAUUUCGCGACGUUAGGCAUCGUGGUCGGGAACCUAAUGGGUCGCACACAAAAGAGAAUUGGAAGACUGCAAAUUGUCAAUUGAUUAAUUUAACAAUCGUUGGAUAAAUUAAUUAAUUUAAUUUGUUAUUUAUAAUCCCGAAUUAAUUAAUUCACGGACCGGGUUUGAUUAAUUGGAUUAAUUAAAUAUUGGACCGGACCGGGUCCGUUUGGGUUUAUAUAUAUAUGCAGCUAGGGUUUGAGGUCCAUAAGUUAUUCAUUAUUCUUGCUAGCACAAGAAAGAAACCCUAGCAGUUGCUGUCUUCUCUCUGUGUGGAUUUCAUUGGAGGCUGGACAAUUGGACAGCUGUGGGAGGCAGAUUCAAGCUGCUGGAAAGGAAUAACGCGAAAGAGUUUGCAAAUCACAAGUAAAGGUAUAUUUCUCAUCAUAGUUUUUAUCUAAAUACAAAGCUGAAUCCUGAAUGUGAAUUGAAACUUGUUAAAUUCCGCUGUGUCUGUUUAAGUAAAUUCCCAACAGUCUCCACUUCAUCCUCAGGAGGAUUUACUUCUCUUUUUCAUCAAACCAUCUUUCCUAAUUCAAGAAAAAACACUUGCAAAUCAUAACCCAUCUCAAUCCAACAAUUUCGUUUGCAUUCCUUUUAUCGACAAAGUAUAAAAAUCGAAAUCAACUUUCGACCCACCCCAUCUGUGCCCAUCUAUUAAAACCCAAAUCAGUUAAAAAAUAAAUAAAAUCGAACACUUGAUUUGUCAGUGUCAUACAUGGAGAAACCCACAAAAUUAAAUUGAUGAGAACUCAUGCUCAUACAUAAACCAUUCUAGUCAAUCGACGAUCAAAAAUCAGUUUCAAGAGUGGAAAAACUUGGAGGACACUAAAGUUUUGAGCUGGGCUAAGAGACACGAUACCUGGUGGUGGUAGGCGACGAAGGUGCGACAGAAAGAUGGCUGCCAAAUUUUGCAAUGAAAUUAUGAAACGGAAGUGUUGGAGAGAGGAAAUGUAUAAGGGAGGAAAUACAUGCAAAUCACCUUUUGUACUGAAGCAAAUUUUAAGAUUGAACUUUGACCCAUUAAAUAAAAAAAAAAGGUUAAAAUAUAAGUUUACACUAAAAAGGCGAUUUUACCCUUCACUAUACACCAACUGUUAGAAAAAAUCCAAAUCGACCGACCGACUGACUGAACUUCGAAAAAAUCGACGCCAACUGCCUGAAGAACGACCGAUCAACCACCGGCUGAAAUACCAAUGAAUCCGUACCUGCACGCUACUAUUCCGGUUAGUUUUGGCGCUCGAAGUUUAUUAUUACAAGUUUCAGUUUUUAGAUUCAUUAUUUUUACGUUUAUUCAAUUUAAAUUCAUCAUCAUGUAAAGUUGUUAGAUUGUAAGUGUGAAUGGUGUGAAAAAUGUGAAUUUUUUGUAAUUUUUGGACCUCUCCAUCAUCGACAAUUGCGAUAUCGCAUGCGGGAAGACGACGACUGUUAACAAUCGGUCCAGACUGUUAACAGUCGUGGGUGUCGAUCCAAUCCAAUUUAACAGUCAUGGACCGACUGCUAAACAGUCAUGGUCCGACUGUUAACAUCGUUCUAGUGACUGUUUAAUUAUUAUUUUUUUUUCAAUUUUUAUAAUUAAUUUUUUUUAUUUGAUUAAAUAAUUAUGCUAUUUAUUUAUUUAUUUAAUUUUUAUAAUUGUCUUUUAUUUUAUUUAUAUAAUUUAAUUAUUUAAUUUUUAUAAUUGUCUUUUAUUUAUAUAAUUUAAUAAUUGAAUAUUAUCUAAAAUUAACAAUUUAUUUUGUUCCUUUUAUUUUUGUUUUUAUGAAAUAAUCUUUAAAUUUUUUUUUCAAAUUUAUUUAGAUAAUAUAUAUAUAUUUUAAUUUUUUUAAAAAUGUAUUUAAUUUCAAAUUUUUUGUUCGUAAAUAUAUUUUCCAAAUUAUUACAAGAUUAAUUUGAUUAAAUAAUAAUUAUGUUAAUUUUUUUUAUAAUUCCCUUUUUUUAUAUAAUUUAAUAAUUGAAUAGAUAAUGUUGUCCGAAAUUAACAAUUUAUUUUGUUCCUUUUAUUUUUCUUUUAUGAAAUAAUCUUUGAUUUUGUUCUAAUUUAUUUAAAUAAUAUUGAUAUUCUUUAUUUUUUUUAAAAUGUAUUUAAUUUGAAUUUUUUUUGUAAAUAUAUUUUUCAAAUGUAAUAUACAAGAUAAACUAAAUUAUUAUAAUUUUUAAAUUUGCAUUGAAUUUAUUUUGUUAUUAGCGUCAAUGUCUUACGUAUUGUAUAGUAGUUAUAAUUCGGCUACCUUGAUUUUUUGAGAUUAUGCGUUACUUUAUUAUCUAUUGUUCAAUGUUCUAACAUUUGAAUUUUUGUAGGAUGGAGUAUCAUUUAGAUGGGGAGUUGAGACGGAUGGCGGGGAAAGCUACUUGGAACAGUAGCUUUGAGAGUUUUACUGCGGUGUUGGAGCUGCUUGAUGAUCAUCACGGAGAUAUGCUGCGACAGUCAUUCUUGUGGCCACUAUACCAGAUGCGAGAGGUGCAGUAUUCAGGACAGAUCAUUGAUGCACUUCUAUGUCGGCUUUUGAGGCCAGUCGAUGACGAUUCCCUCCACUUCGACCUCGGGGGCAAGGUCGUCAGUUUCUCGAUUUAUUAGUUUAGCUUGAUCACUGGACUGAGGAUUACGGGCGACGAUGCAGCCAUUGAGAGAAGCAGUAGGCUGUACGAGACGUACUUUCAGGGACAUGGGUCAGUGCAUCUACCCGAGUUGAUGGUCGUGAUUAGGGGGUGCGACCAGAUGCUAGAUAGAUUGAAGCUUGGGCUGGUCUACAUCUUCGAGAAUGUGAUGAGGUGUCAUCACAAGAAGACUGCCAUCGACAUUUUUCAUUUGGAAGUUGUUGAUGACAUUGAUGUGUUCAACAACAAUCCAUGGGGCCAGAGAUGUUACGAAGACACCGUACAUGUCUUCACCAGAUUACACUCGAGGUUCAGGGGGUCAAUGCGUAAAUACGAUACAUAUGGGUUGCCCUUAGCAGUGCAGGUAAAUGUUUAAUAUAAUUAAAGUUAAAAUUUUAGUAUAUUACAUUUAUGCAUAAUAAGUGUAUGUGUUGCUGAUUUGGGUGUAUGAGACAGUCCCUGCACUGGGAGCUCGCUUUGCGAAGCAAGGGGAGACACGAUGCCCUCGGAUGCAUCAUUGGAGAUCGUCGCAAGCGGAGGGAUGUCCCACUGGGAAACAGUUAUCUGCCCUCCUCGACGAUUCUCAGGUAAGUAUUAUGCAUUUGUGAUUUAUAUUAUACUUAGUUUAAAUCUGUUUACAUGAUCGUUAACUAAUUCAAAUGUCAAUAUAUCAGCUUGAAGUCAUACCUGAGUUGACGCCGUCGAUGGAGGAGGAGGCUCGGGGUCUUGUGCUGGAUGUAGGUGUUCCGCACACUGAAGACGAGCAGAUGUCUGAUCCUAGUGUGGACCGAGAUUGGGUAUGUGAUUAAAUAUAAUUUAUUGAAUAUCGUCGAUGUAUAAAUUUAUUUAUUAAUUUUUAUUGUUAUUUAUGUAGGAGGGCGGUCCAGCUGAUCGACGAUCACCUCCGCCAAAGGUAUCGCCGCCACCAUUGGCAUCACCUCUAUCGAGGGCAUCGCCGUCACCAUUGACAUCGCCUCCGCCGAGGGCAUCGCCGCCACCAUUGGCAUCGUCAUCGUCGAGGGUAUCUCCUUCUCCCUCGUCCAGACACGUCCCCCGUGUAUCGUCGACACACACUGAUGAUUUAUUUGCCCGUCUGAUUGGAUUUAUAGCGGAGGAGGUCGGCGCACUAUGACGAGAGUUGACAGAGAGGGUCAAUGAUCUGGGACGAGAGUUGACCGGGAGGGUCGACGAUCUGACAGAGAGGGUCAACGAUAUGGGACAAGAGUUGACAGGGAGGGUUGACGAUCUAUCCCAUGAUGUUGGAAUGCUACGAUCUUACGUUGUCGACCUUCAGGAUGCGGUAGCGACACUUAGAGGAGAUUUAGCCGCUAGGCGAUAGGGGGACAGAGGGGAUGGUGGAGAUGAUCGAGAGGGUGGUAGAGAUGGUGAUGGAGAGGGGAGUCACCCACAUUUUUGGCAUGACGAGACAUUAGAGUCAUUCUGGUUGUCUAUGGAUGGGGAUAGAGUGGCCCCGAUAGGGGGCGACGAGGGGGGAGGCACCGAUGGGAGACACGAAGGAGGUGGCGACAAAGGGAGAGGCCCUGAUGGGAAGGGCGGAGGAAGUGGUGACGGAGGAGAUGGCCCUGAUGGGAGGAGCAAAUGAGGUGGCGACGGAGGAGGGGGCCGCGGAGGGCGAGAGGACGCCCAUCGUGAUUGAAGGUGAGAGACAUGCUGUUGAUGAGACGGAGCAGGUGGUCGGCAAGAGGUUGAGAGUGUCGUCACAGUAUGUUGUUUUCCCCUUCACGGCUGAGGCCAAAAGGAGGAUGUUCAUCGAUGGGACGUGCCCGAACCUAUUCAGAGAAGUGGACAAUGCCAAGUGGAAAGCAUUCGAGACGGAGUGGAAGAGAAUUAUCCCCGGGUAAGUAUUGUAUAAUUUUAAUAAAGCACUAUACGCUAACUCGUCUAUGCUUAUUUUAACAUUUCCCUGUUUUUUCAGAACUACCCACACGAUAGGUAACCGAACGGUCUCGGAUGCUUACAAGUGGUUCCACGAUAUCACGACUUCGGGAGCUUGGCUCGCCGACGAUGUAAGUGAACUAUUCAUUUCGUGUUUUGUAUGUAUACGUCACUUUAUGUUUAUUAAAUGAAUAACAAAUAAUUUUUUGGUGUUUCUUGAUGCAACACAUCGACCUAGCCAUGGACUUGCUGCGAGAUCUAGCUCAGAGACAUCCAAAAUCAUUUGACGUCCAUGGUCAAGUCAUAUUAAAUACCGAGUUCCUGUGUGCCGUUACCAUAGAGUAUCAGUCCCUCCAACUUAUGGGUAACGAGUACACGGUGCCAGAAUAUAUGCUCCAGUGGGUCAUAGGAUUGUCGCCGAGUGUCGGGGAAAAAUCAUAGGAGGGUUGUACACAUAUGUACAUUCUGCGUGCAUCAAUAGGCACUAUGUUAUGCUGGAGAUCAUUUUUGCUGACACGACUAUUUAUGUGUACGACCCAGAUCAUUCAUGUUUGACGCAAGGCCAAUUGGAGCAAAACUUGGAGUUCGCAGCUGUAAUUGUUCCUAUGAUGGCCAGACAAGCGGGGAUGACUGUACAGGACAGAUUGCAGAUUGUUCGGAACACGACGACAUCGCUACAGUCCGUAAGGUAAGUGUUUGAACUUUAUUGUUUUCAUCUUUCAGAUUUAAUUUUUUAGAUACACAGUACUGAACUGAUCCAUUCUUGUUCAAUUAUAGCGACAACUGCGGCAUAUUUUCCAUUAAAUACGUUAAAUUUUUAAGUAUAGGACAUAAGGUUGAUGGAAUCAACCAAUCGUGGAUACAGAACUGGAGAAAGAAGUUAGCAUGUGAUUUGUUCGAAUUUAAUGGUGACCCGUAAAUUUGUAUUAAAUAUAUGUAACAUUCGAAUUGUAAAUUUAAUUAUUUUUUGUGAUUAUGAAAUAAUUGUAAAUUUGUGUUAGGUGUAUAUAACAUUCACAUUGUAAAUGUAAUUAUUCUUUUUAUUAUGAAAUAAUUGUAAAUUUGUGUUCAAUGUAUAUAAUUAUUUUUCUGUAAGUUGAUUUUUUGUUAUUUUACACAUAUGCUGAGAAUGGAACUAAUUUUUUCAUAUGAAUCAUUGUAAAUACCGUUUAUCAAGAAUAAAUAUAGAACAUUGAACAUUUAUGAAGAACAAAUAUUGAACGUACCUGUCUAAUUGUCAUUUAGGGGAAUUUGACUGAUACAAAAUUGUUAAGUAUGCCCUAUGGCUCUACAUCUGCCACACCUACGCGGUCGAGAAAACUUUUCGGUAGAUGGUAUUCUAGAUGUACUUGGACAUGCAGGACUACACGGUUCAACUGCUGGUGGCAACAAAUCAUUAAACGGGAGAAUGUGCUCUAGAACUUCCCACUCUGUUUCAUUCGGCAGAAGAAAUAUAGUCUCCGCAUAUGCUGUCCUCCAAGACCAGUCGUAUAAUACAAAGAGCAUAACGUUCUCGCUGCAAAGCUUCAAUACAUGGCCACCGCAACUGAUGCUCACACGGAAAACUCUCCAACUGAAAUCUCGUACAAGUGCAUGUGUUAUCAGUCAAGUCCACCAUAUAUGCCGUAUUACGUGCACAUUGCACGGAGAAGCGAAACUCAUCUAGUGCUUUUACAUUCAACUUCAUCGCAACCUCUGUCGCCUUAAAGAGUUUUUCCUCUUGAGCUGGGGCCAGCACGCUACUGUAACUUUGUGAUGCCGCACGUCGGUCAUGAAACUACUGUUGCAGCUUGUUACGAAUGUUUUCAAUCAUUGCGAUAAUUGGUAACUCUCAAUCCUUCUUCAACAAUGCAUUGAGAGACUCCGCGUUAUUCGACGUCAUCAUGUUGUAUCGACGUCCUGUAAAGUAUGACCGCCCAAUGUUCAAUCCCCAUGUUCGUCAGAUACUCCAACGUUGGUAAUGAUUUACUUCUUAUCUCAAACAUGAACUUAUUACACUCUUCAACACUGUAAGCUUCGGCUGCUCUCCUGAACAAUGAAACGAUGCCUUUGUCCCGAUACCUAGUUUUCAAAUUAUCUUGUAUAUGGUACGUGCAAUACUCGUGAUGUGCUUCUGGAAAAACUUCAGCGAUACCGUUUAUUAUAGACUGUCCCUGAUCGGUUACAAAGGCAAGGUCUUCGACUUCCCCGAUUACUUCCCUCAGUUUCGAAAAGAACCAACGCAUGGACAGAUCAUUCUCGCUGUCGACUAUGCCAAAUGCAAUAGGGUAAAUUUGGAUGUUGGCGUCUUGACAUGUAGUAAUAAUUAAUUUGCCUUGAUAUUUAGCUUUAAGAGUUGUACCAUCAACUAGAAUUACGGGUCGCAUUACAUUUUGAAAAUCCCAAAUACAUUGUCCGAGAGCCAUGAAGAAAUACUUAAAACAAUUAUCGCUCCCCGUCUCAAUAAAAAAUGUCGUGCCAGGAUUAGUUCUCCCCAUGUUAUAGCAAUAUCUGGCCAAUUUAGCAUAGCUCUCAUCAACCGAUCCCAUUAAAUCCUCCAAUGCACAUUCUUUGGCCUUCCAGGCUUUUUGGUAGCUCAUGAUCAAUCCAUAAUCUUGAUGGACAUCGUUAAUGAUGUCCGAAGGUCUGUAGAUCAUCCGUGGGUCCUGAUACUUGUGCAUUAUCUGUCGACCAAAAAACCAUGCUCGAAUUUGCCUGUGAUUGUUUCGAAGAAUUCCCACUUCGCAAGUAUAUUCCCGUGAAUACUUGCGAAUUACGAAGCACUCAUUCGUGUCCAUCUUAGUUGCUCUCAAGCACCAAUUGCAACUGCCUUCCACACAGGCAACUGUCAACAAUGACUUGUUUGAUUUCUUUACCUUGAACUCAAAGUUAUAUUUAAUUGUCAGCCAGUGCACAGCUUCCUGCAAAUCUUUCUUGGUUUCAAAUAGUUGCUUGACAUACAAGUCCUCAUAAUCGGGAGCCACACGGGAAGAAUUGGAGGACGGUCCACUUGUUCCAACCUGUGAGCUCCCACCCUACUCAUGUCUCUGUCGGGAUAAAACAAUCAAAUUCUCAUUUGUAAACUCGUUUAUAUUCUCAUUGUUUUCAACCGUCGACGAAAUUCUGCGCGUAACUGUGACAUCACGAUCAAAAGCAACUGUCUCAAGAAUAACCACAUCAUCCGUAGGAACUAUCUCCACUAUCUCCCAAAAACCUCGAUCAUUGUUAUCCGUCCUAUCUGAAUCUUCGCGUUCACCUUCGAUAACAUCCUUCGUAAUUAAAGUCACACCAAAAACAAUCGAAGUCCGAUACAUUUUAUUCAAUUCUAAUGGAUAAUUCAAUUCAGCAUCAUUAGUAACGAAUACCGGUGGCAUCGGAAUGGAUGAAUCCCCAUAACUGUUGAAUAGAUAUCUCAAUUGCAUAUCUUAUUGAGAUCGAUCGACAUUCAGCUUAUUUUGCAAAUCGUGAUACAUUUCUAAGUAUGGUGUACUCUCUGUUAUGGGAAUUGCAAUACAACCACGUAUGUCACUCGUCCAUCUCCAUUCCCACCGAUUAUUUUCAUUCAAUUCGAAAUCACCGAAAUAACAGAUGGGGAUUAUCAUAUCUGCAUGAGGAAAUAGAUUUAAUCAACUUCAUUUAUUAAUUAUAAGAAAAAAUAAUGCAUUGUCAACAAAAAUCAGUGCCAACAGUCGACUGUUGGCUGUUAAAUAGCCGACUGUCGACUGUUUGGCUGUUUAACAGCCCACAGUCAAGUGACUGUUUGGCUGUUAACAGUCGACUGCUUUUCUGUUUUCUGCAUUACGUAGAAGAAAAAAAUUAUAGAUCUGUUCAAAAAAAAAAUUUCAUAUGUUCGAUCAAAAAUUAAUACUAACUAUUACUAUGUCGAAAUAAAUUUUCUCUAUUCAAACGUAUACUAAUUUACUAAAAAAAGAAAUUAAACAUGCGUAAAAAUACUUACCGAUUUGAAGAAUUGAUAUUAAAAAAAUUUCGGCUUCAGCGUUUGAAUGUUUUUUGAGAUGUUAAGGUUCAAGCAGAUGAAAGAUGAGAGUUUUUUCUGUCUUGGAAGCUCGUUUUGAAGUUUUAUAAGUGGGGAAGUGUUUGAUUUUCAAUUAUUAACUAAAAGGGUAGUAAAGUCUUUUCAACAAUACAGUGUUUUGUAAUUGUAUAAUACAUUUAAGGGCAUCCUUGUCUUUUAACAUUCAAGAGGCCAAUGUGAUAAUAUUCAUAAUUUUCAAAGUCAAAGUGGAAUUUCCUAUACCCCUAUUUAAGGUCAAUAUGCAUUCUGGGUCCUUUUGUUUUAUUUAUAUAUUAGGAGAUAUUUCUGGUUGCUUUUGUUUUAUUUAUAUAUUAUAAGAGAUAUUUAUGAAAUAACCAGUCCUUGAACAGUAGAAUCCAGUUACAGUGUGAAAUGGAGCACCAUAGAAAUGAAUAGUGCAAGCUGAUUCAUUCUUUUAUAUAAUGCAAUGAUUUGUCGCUCAAUACUUGCUGGCGGAUCAGGAGCAGGUUGUUGUGUAGUUGUUCUCCUGAUGGAUAACAUCAAACCUCCCAGGAGUGGAAAGGUAUGCCCGUGCGUUUGUUUCAACAUCUGUACAUAUGUUGAUGUAGCAUUACAUAAACACAGCAGCAGCCACACAGGGAGAAGUAGAAACCAGAAAAAGAAAGAUGAAGAAGGAGAGAAGAAGAAGAAGAGGGCGGUGAAAAAGGCGAAAAUGUUUGCAACACUGAAUUUUCAUUCAUUCAUCAUAUCUCUCUAUCCGUUACAAAAGUGUAAAUAUAUAUAUAUAUAUAUAUAUACAACACAAAAGAAAAAGGGACCCAAUACAUUAUACAAGCCCAAAGCCAAGAAAAAAAGAAAAAUAACAAAGGCUUGGGCCAGGCCAAAGCAGAUGUCCUCAUCAACUCUC